GGGAGCGCGGCGCAGUCCGUCGGCCCACGGCGGGGCGGCCUCCCGGCGACUUCGCGGCGACCAAGGACGACCGGGAAGAGGAACGGCCGGGAUGGCGCGUCCGCGGCCCCGCGAGUACAAAGCGGGUGACCUGGUCUUCGCCAAGAUGAAGGGCUACCCGCACUGGCCGGCCCGGAUUGAUGAACUCCCAGAAGGAGCUGUGAAGCCUCCAGCAAACAAAUAUCCUAUCUUCUUUUUUGGCACCCAUGAAACUGCAUUUCUAGGUCCUAAAGACCUUUUUCCAUAUAAGGAAUACAAAGACAAGUUUGGAAAGUCAAACAAACGGAAAGGAUUUAAUGAAGGAUUGUGGGAAAGAGAAAAUAACCCAGGAGUAAAGUUUACGGGAUGCCAGGCAAUUCAGCAACAGAGCUCUUCAGAAACUGAGGGAGAAGGUGGAAAUAUGCAGAUGCAAGCAGCGAGGAAGAAGGCGAUAGAGUAGAAGACGGAAGAGGCAAAAGAAAGAAUGAAACAGCAGGCUCAAAACGGAAAAAGUCAUACACUUCAAAGACAUCCUCUAAACAGUCCCGGAAAUCUCCAGGAGAUGAAGAUGACAAAGACUGCAAAGAAGAGGAGAACAAAAGCAGCUCUGAGGGUGGAGAUGCCGGCAAUGACACGAGAAACACAACUUCAGACCUGCAGAGCACCAGUGAGGCGACCUAACUACCAUAAUGAAUGCUGCACAUGGAGAGAAACCACAAGAAGGUUCUAUGUCGGGCUGUCUAAUAUUCUUGGAUUUGAUAUGAACCAACACAUAGUCCUUGUUGUCACUGACAGAACCCCCAUUUGUAUGUACAUUACUCACGUUCCUCUCUGUUGUGUUUGGGGGAAAAAACAUUUUAGCCUUUUUUAAAGUUAUUGAUUUAAUUUCAUGUUAUUUGGUU